UACGUAGGUGGCGAGCGUUGUCCGGAUUUAUUGGGCGUAAAGCGCCCGCAGGCGCCUGUCAAGUUUCAGGUGAAAUCUCCUGGCUUAACUGGGAGGGGUCCUGGAAAACUGUCAGGCUUGAGGCAGGGAGAGGGAUGUGGAAUUCCCGGUGUAGUAGUGAAAUGCGUAGAUAUCGGGAGGAACACCAGUGGCGAAGGCGGCAUCCUGGCCCUGUCCUGACGCUCAGGGGCGAAAGCGUGGGGAGCAAACCGG
rnacentral:rRNA from 1 species